GACGAACGCUGGCGGCGUGCUUAACACAUGCAAGUCGAACGAUGAACCACUUCGGUGGGGAUUAGUGGCGAACGGGUGAGUAACACGUGGGCAAUCUGCCCUUCACUCUGGGACAAGCCCUGGAAACGGGGUCUAAUACCGGAUAACACUGCCACGGGCAUCUGUGGUGGUUAAAAGCUCCGGCGGUGAAGGAUGAGCCCGCGGCCUAUCAGCUUGUUGGUGAGGUAAUGGCUCACCAAGGCGACGACGGGUAGCCGGCCUGAGAGGGCGACCGGCCACACUGGGACUGAGACACGGCCCAGACUCCUACGGGAGGCAGCAGUGGGGAAUAUUGGACAAUGGGCGCAAGCCUGAUCCAGCAAUGCCGCGUGAGUGAAGAAGGUCUUCGGAUUGUAAAGCUCUUUCGACGGGGACGAUGAUGACGGUACCCGUAGAAGAAGCCCCGGCUAACUUCGUGCCAGCCGCCGCGGUAAC
rnacentral:rRNA from 1 species